AUCAGUAGCCUUAUCACCCUGCAACUUCCAACUGGCAGCCCACUGGAAUUCAUCAGGUGUGAGCCUGGUCAGUACCUGGAUGGGAGACUCCUGGGAAAAACUAAGGUUGCUGCUGGAA
rnacentral:rRNA from 1 species